rnacentral:rRNA from 1 species
AAACCAACCGGGAUUGCCUUAGUAACGGCGAGUGAAGCGGCAAAAGCUCAAAUUUGAAAUCUGGUACCUUCGGUGCCCGAGUUGUAAUUUGGAGAGGGCAACUUUGGGGCCGUUCCUUGUCUAUGUUCCUUGGAACAGGACGUCAUAGAGGGUGAGAAUCCCGUGUGGCGAGGAGUGCGGUUCUUUGUAGAGUGCCUUCGAAGAGUCGAGUUGUUUGGGAAUGCAGCUCUAAGUGGGUGGUAAAUUCCAUCUAAAGCUAAAUAUUGGCGAGAGACCGAUAGCGAACAAGUACAGUGAUGGAAAGAUGAAAAGAACUUUGAAAAGAGAGUGAAAAAGUACGUGAAAUUGUUGAAAGGGAAGGGCAUUUGAUCAGACAUGGUGUUUUGUGCCCUCUGCUCCUUGUGGGUAGGGGAAUCUCGCAUUUCACUGGGCCAGCAUCAGUUUUGGUGGCAGGAUAAAUCCAUAGGAAUGUAGCUUGCCUCGGUAAGUAUUAUAGCCUGUGGGAAUACUGCCAGCUGGGACUGAGGACUGCGACGUAAGUCAAGGAUGCUGGCAUAAUGGUUAUAUGCCGCCC